GAUGAACGCUGGCGGCGUGCCUAAUACAUGCAAGUCGAGCGAACAGACGAGUAUCUUGCUCCUCUGACGUUAGCGGCGGACGUGUGAUUAACACGUGGAUAACCUACCUAUAAUACUGGGAUAACUUCGUGAAACCGGAGCUAAUACCGGAUAAUAUAUUUAACCGCAUGGUUCAAUAGUGAAAUACGGUUUUUCUGUCACUUAUAGAUGGAUCCGCGCCGCAUUAGCUAGUUGGUAAGGUAACGGCUUACCAAGGCAACGAUGCGUAGCCGACCUGAGAGGGUGAUAGGCCACACUGGAAAUGAGACACGGACAAGAAUACUACGGGAGGCAGCAGUAGGGAAUCUGCCGCAAUGGGCGAAAGCAUGACGGAGCAAAGCCGAGUGAGUGAUGAAGGUCUUCGGAUCGUAAAACUCUGUUAUUAGGGAAGAAAAAAUGUGUAAGUAAAUAUGCACGUCUUGACGGUAACUAAUCAGAAAGCAACGGCUAACUACGUG
rnacentral:rRNA from 1 species